rnacentral:piRNA from 1 species
UGCUCUAGUGGGCAGGGUAGAGC